rnacentral:rRNA from 1 species
UACGUAGGGGGCAAGCGUUGUCCGGAAUCAUUGGGCGUAAAGAGCGCGUAGGCGGCCCUGUAGGUCCGCUGUGAAAAUCAAGGGCUCAACCCUUGAAUGCCGGUGGAUACUGCAGGGCUAGAGUCCGGAAGAGGCGAGUGGAAUUCCUGGUGUAGCGGUGAAAUGCGCAGAUAUCAGGAGGAACACCGAUGGCGAAGGCAGCUCGCUGGGACGGUACUGACGCUGAGGCGCGAAAGCGUGGGGAGCAAACAGG